ensembl:lncRNA
CUAUUCUAUAUGGGUUCUUAUUGACCAGGUGUUCUCUAUUCUACAUGGGUCCUUAUGGAGCAGGUAUAUAUUCUAUAUGGGUCCUUAUGGAGCAGGUGUUGUCUAUUCUAUAUGGGUCCUUAUGGAGCAGGUGUUGUCUAUUCUAUACGAGUCCUUAUGGAGCAGGUGUUGUCUAUUUUAUAUGAGUCCUUAUGGAGCAGGUGUAUAUUCUAUAUGAGUCCUUAUGGAGCAGGUAUAUAUUCUAUAUGGGUCCUUAUGGAGCAGGUGUUGUCUAUUCUAUAUGGGUCCUUAUGGAGCAGGUAUUGUCUAUUCUAUGAGUCCUUAUGGAGCAGGUGUUGUCUAUUCUAUAUGAGUCCUUAUGGAGCAGGUAUAUAUUCUAUAUGAGUCCUUAUGGAGCAGGUGUUGUCUAUUCUAUAUGGGUCCUUAUGGACCAGGUGUUGUUUAUUCUAUAUGAGUCCUUAUGGAGCAGGUGUUGUCUAUUCUAUAUGAGUCCUUAUGGAGCAGGUGUUGUCUAUUCUAUAUGAGUCCUUAUGGAGCAGGUGUUGUCUAUUUUAUAUGAGUCCUUAUGGAGCAGGUGUGUUGUCUAUUCUAUAUGAGUCCUUAUAGAGCAGGUGUUGUCUAUUCUAUAUGAGUCCUUAUAGAGCAGGUGUUGUCUAUUCUAUAUGAGUCCUUAUGGACCAGGUGUUGUCUAUUCUAUAUGGGUCCUUAUGGAGCAGGUGUUGUCUAUUCUAUACGAGUACUUAUAGAGCAGGUGUUGUCUAUUUUACAUGAGUCCUUAUGGAGCAGGUGUUGUCUAUUCUAUAUGAGUCCUUAUGGAGCAGGUGUUGUCUAUUUUAUAUGAGUCCUUAUGGAGCAGGUG